rnacentral:rRNA from 1 species
GAUGAACGCUAGCUACAGGCUUAACACAUGCAAGUCGCAGGGUAACAUGAGGAAAGCUUGCUUUCCUUGAUGACGACUGGCGCACGGGUGAGUAACGCGUAUCCAACCUUCCCAUAACUACGGGAUAACCCGUUGAAAGACGGCCUAAUACCGUAUGAUAUCGUUUGCUGACAUCAAAUAACGAUUAAAGGUUUAGCGGU